rnacentral:rRNA from 1 species
GACGAACGCUGGCGGCGUGCUUAACACAUGCAAGUCGAACGGAAAGGCCCUGCUUUUGUGGGGUGCUCGAGUGGCGAACGGGUGAGUAACACGUGAGUAACCUUCCCUUGACUUUGGGAUAACUUCAGGAAACUGGGGCUAAUACCGGAUAGGAGCUCCUGCUGCAUUGUGGGGGUUGGAAAGUUUCGGCGGUUGGGGAUGGACUCGCGGCUUAUCAGCUUGUUGGUGGGGUAGUGGCUUACCAAGGCUUUGACGGGUAGCCGGCCUGAGAGGGUGACCGGCCACAUUGGGACUGAGAUACGGCACAGACUCCUACGGGAGGCAGCAGUGGGGAAUAUUGCACAAUGGGCGGAAGCCUGAUGCAGCAACGCCGCGUGCGGGAUGACGGCCUUCGGGUUGUAAACCGCUUUCGCCUGUGACGAAGCGUGAGUGACGGUAAUGGGUAAAGAAGCACCGGCUAACUACGUG